UACAGAGGGUGCAAGCGUUAUUCGGAAUUACUGGGCGUAAAGCGUGCGUAGGCGGUUAUGUAAGUCAGGUGUGAAAGCCCCGGGCUCAACCUGGGAAUGCCAUUUGAGACUGCAUAGCUAGGGUACGGAAGAGGGAAGCGGAAUUUCAGGUGUAGCGGUGAAAUGCGUAGAUAUCUGAAGGAACACCAGUGGCGAAAGCGGCUUCCUGGACCAGUACCGACGUUCAGGCACGAAAGCGUGGGGAGCAAACAGG
rnacentral:rRNA from 1 species